rnacentral:rRNA from 1 species
GCCAGACUCCUACGGGAGGCAGCAGUGGGGAAUAUUGCACAAUGGGGGAAACCCUGAUGCAGCGACGCCGCGUGAGUGAAGAAGUAUUUCGGUAUGUAAAGCUCUAUCAGCAGGGAAGAAAAUGACGGUACCCGACUAAGAAGCCCCGGCUAACUACGUGCCAGCAGCCGCGGUAAUACGUAGGGGGCAAGCGUUAUCCGGAUUUACUGGGUGUAAAGGGAGCGUAGACGGUGAUGCAAGUCAGAAGUGAAAGCCCGGGGCUCAACUCCGGGACUGCUUUUGAAACUGUGUGACUGGAGUGCAGGAGAGGUAAGCGGAAUUCCUGGUGUAGCGGUGAAAUGCGUAGAUAUCAGGAGGAACACCAGUGGCGAAGGCGGCUUACUGGACUGUAACUGACGUUGAGGCUCGAAAGCGUGGGGAGCAAACAGGAUUAGAUACCCUUGUACAA